UACGUAGGGUGCAAGCGUUAAUCGGAAUUACUGGGCGUAAAGCGUGCGCAGGCGGUUUUGUAAGUUUGUCGUGAAAGCCCCGGGCUCAACCUGGGAAUGGCGAUGAAGACUGCAAGGCUUGAACCUGGCAGAGGGGGGUAGAAUUCCACGUGUAGCAGUGAAAUGCGUAGAGAUGUGGAGGAACACCGAUGGCGAAGGCAGCCCCCUGGGUCAAGAUUGACGCUCAUGCACGAAAGCGUGGGGAGCAAACAGG
rnacentral:rRNA from 1 species